CUGGAAUGAUGCUUCUUUAGCCAAAUCAGACUAUUUUUUAUGUGCUCCGUGAGGCAUCCUCUUUCAAAGCUUUUCUCUUAGUAACCGGUGAUGUAGCUUUGGUUGGAUGCCUUUCGUCGAAGCGCAUCCUCUGAUGAUACCCUUGAGAUUGGUUGCCUUGCUGACCCAGA
rnacentral:snoRNA from 1 species